AUGCGCCCUGGGCUCAGUUUGCGCCGCGAUAAAUUGUUUUCAACAUGUAAUACAUUUUUUGCCGCAUGCCAGGUGAGAUGGCGAACUGGGUGUGCUUUCUGUGUUUGUGUUGUGUGGGACCGUGGGAGAGUGAUUUUUCUUCAGAAGGUUCAGAGUUUUAUUGGGUUAAGGCGAACUCAGCUUAUCGUACAGUCUUGUUCAAACAGUGAUUUUUCUUCAGAAGGUUCGGAGUUCUAUUGGGUUAGAAACAUGUACAAUUUGUCAGGUUGUUUCAGGUCGUCUAAAUCUGGAGUUCUAGACUGUAUGAUCUACUGGGUUGCCUGCGCCGGUCAUCGAAGCCUACCGAGGUGGUGCCCCACUGCUGCCAGCGUCUCACUGCACCCCUCCUCCACACCACAAGGAAGACCAAGAUAUCAUGUUGUUGUUGUUGCUCUUCUACUACAUCUUCAGGUUCAGAAAAGGCAACAACAACGUUUCGCUGUGCGGUGUAGGCUGCGGCGGCAGGACCAUUUUCCUCUUGAAAUUGUUUUAAUUUAUGUGUUUCUCCUACCGCCAAUAGAGGAGAAGAAAGGCCAGCACCGAGCUACUGUUGCUACUGCUUGUUUUAGCUUGCACAACCAAUUUGGGCGUUACCAGGAAGAAGACAAAGAGAGAAAAUUAUGA
rnacentral:rRNA from 1 species